UCCGGCUUAUCACCGGCAGUCCCCUUAGAGUGCCCAACUAAAUGAUGGCAACUAAAGACGAGGGUUGCGCUCGUUGCGCCACUUAAGGCAACACCUCACGGCACGAGCUGACGACGGCCAUGCACCACCUGUGCGGGCUCCGAGGAGCGCCGUAUCUCUACGGUUUCACCCCGCAUGUCAAGCCCAGGUAAGGUUCUUCGCGUCGCUUCGAAUUAAGCCACAUGCUCCGCCGCUUGUGCGGGCCCCCGUCAAUUCCUUUGAGUUUUAGCCUUGCGGCCGUACUCCCCAGGCGCCUAGUACCCAUCGUUUACGGCGUGGACUAC
rnacentral:misc_RNA from 1 species